rnacentral:lncRNA from 1 species
AUUGAGGCGUGUCUUCCCUGGUUCUGCGUCCGUGAAGCCUAGAGAUUCCCGAGCCUGGGUCACCCGGGCGGUGUCGCAUGUCGUCUGCGGGGAGGUUGGGGCUGCUCGCGCGAGGCGCUCUGGGUCUCAUUUCCGAGGCCGAAAAUGCUGGCUCCAAAGUGGUGCCCUGGGAGAUGAGGGCGACUCGCAGAUUCCACCCUAUUCUCUGAAUGGGCUUCGAGUCUCCAUGGUGGUGGUUGUGAGAAUUAAGGGAACCUCAGAGCAAUGGCCAGCACACAAUGACCCUUCAAAUGUCAGCGGCUUUGAUGAUCACCAUUCUUACCUUUUCUUUGGAGAUUUGGACAAGUUACCGCCCCACCUUCCUCCAGGGUCUUUGUGUAUUGAUCUGCAGGUUGGAUGUAUUGGAUGUUACGACCACUAAACUUUCUUCUGAGCACACACGAGCAGUGGUGUUGUUCUCUCUGAGAAAUACUACAGGCUUUGGUGUUAAGACACUGGAAUUCCGGAAACCUGUCCCUGUCAUACCAGUUGCUGUGUGACCUCCGUCAAUCAUGGUUCUUUACUGAGCCCUGAGACUCCGCACGUGAAAAUGGAUGGGGAUGAACUUCCAGUCCAGGCAGUGCCACUGACUUUGCUUGGGGACCUGGGGCAAGCUCUGUGGCCCAGCAUUGCACCAUCUGUAACAACAUAACCAAGGGGUGCGCAAUUGAGCUUUGAGGUUAAUUUCGGUGCUAAAAUCCCGGUCAGUAGUUCCGUCAUCUUCACAGACCUCACCCUACCCAAUGCCCUUAUUGUGCUCCACAUCCCAAUCAACACUUACUGAUUCCAGAUUUGUAAUUUUUGCCAUUGUAGUGAGAAGUAAUUAACUAUUUUAUGGUUUUUUAAAUUUGAAUUUUUGACUAUCAGGAUUAGCAUAUUUUUUUUUUCUUCGUUAAAGACUAGUCAAGUGCAUUAGUGAGGAGGGGGGAAAGAGUAGACCAAGGAAUUUGGUCUGUAACUGACUGUGGACAAUACAUUGGUAGAACUCACUACCUUUGAGCCAGCCAGAAUCUUUUUAUUAUUCACUGGAUAUUCAGGUUUUGCCUCUGUAAAUUUUCUUUCAUUGCCAUUUUUUUCAAAUAGUUCAUUCAAUCUUUGUUUUCAGAUGUGCUUUCCACAAUCAGGUUACAAAUUCUCUGCCACUAAUGAUCAUU